UGGAAUAUAACUAAAAAGGAUGAUAGAAACGUUUCCCAAUAAUAUACUCAUCGAAACCCUCUCAAAAUCGCCUUUGCCCGAGAGCGAACUUGAUUUUUUGAACUUUGAAAUUAAGCCUCAGAUAAAACCCUUAGCAUCAAAAUGAUUUCCACUUUUGCGGAUCUAGUGACCGCUUCUGCGGUCUCGCUUUUGCGGUUUUCUUAAAAAGCCAACCUACCGCUUCUGCGAUCCAUCAAUUGCAGAAGCGAGUCCGCUUCUGCGGAACUUAUACCGCUUCUUGGGUUCCUGAACUUUUGCCCAAUUUCGCAUCUGCGGCGCCCUAUGCCACUUCUGCGGUUCCCAAACUGUAGAAACAAAAAUACCAGAAGUCUGAAGUCUUCAGCUGCUACACACUUUAGAAUUUCUUCCGUUAACCACCCAAAAUCAUCCCGAGACCCCCAGAACCUCAACCAAAAAUACCAGUACCACCUAAUACCAUAUUAAAACUUACACCAAUCCUUAGGACACCUAAAAAAACACCAAAACCUCGAUCAAAUCAAAGAUUCAAGCCUAAGAACUUCAAGUUCAUCCAAAACACGCUUUCGAUUCAAAACCUAAUCAACACUCGUUCGAUUGACCUGAAACUUUUCACGCACGUUCCAAAUGACAUGACGGUGUUACAACAACUUCUGGAAUCCCAUUCCUACCCUCAGAUAAAAAUUUCACUAUCAGAUCGGAAACUUCAAAAGUCUAACUUUUGGCAUUUCUAGCCUAAAUGAGCUACGGAUAUCCAAAAUGCAUUCCGAACACGCUCCUGACCCAAAAUCACCUAACGAAGCUAACGGAACCAUCGAAUUUCCAUUUCGAGGUCGUCUUCACACUAUUCUUAAUACAGACCACUUUCCAACACUUAAGCUCCCUUUAGGGACCCAAAACACUCCAAAUUCUCACAGAACGUUCCGGCAAAACCAAAAUAGCAGAAUGAACUUAGAGGAAACAAAUAGGGGAACAGGGCAUAAAUUCCAAAGACGACCGCCCGGGUCGUCACAGUCACCAUCGCCCAUACAAAGUCUAUUCAAAUUGGUAUUUACCAUUAUAUAACCCUAAUUCCUAAAAUAUUAAAAUUGGGGAAGGAAUUUCAAACCCAAACAUAAAGAUUAUGAAAUCGAAUUGACUAAAGAUUAGUUAUUUUUACUUUAUUGAUUGAAAAUCGCCUCAAUUUUAGCAGCAACAACAAAGUUUCUUCAGCAAUGGUAGAUAGCCUUUAAAUUUAGAAUGAGUGAUAAGAUAAUGGGUUCAAUUAAAAUAGCUGAGUUUAAUGUUUUUGGGACCUUUUUUAUGGCUUAUUUGACAUUACAUGUGGUGAUGUACGGGCCUUUUAAAAUUAGUCCUCACGUGCUUGGAAGAGGUGUAGUCACGGUCGAAUUUAAUUGAGCAUAUAAUGUUAAAUUAAUUAUGACAAAAGAAAGUUAAUGGGAGUAAUAGGACCCCCGGGGAAAAAAGUGUGUAGGUUGGUAAAUAGGUCAUAGGAUGGGUGAAUUUUAUGCAUUAUCGCCCUUUUUAUUAGAAAACAAAUUCUCAAGCUUUUAAUCUACUUUUGAAACUUGUAAUUGUGGCUCAUUUAUUAGUUCAACAAAUCAAAUACAUUUGGGUGAUGUAAAACUAUUUUUUUAUAAGCCACAAUUUUCGAAUAUGGUUUUGUUAGAAAUUUGAAGUUGAUGUAAUUUAGGACUUGUUAGAAAUAGUAUAAGGAGGUUGUAUAAAAAAAUUGAAGUCAUUAAUAAAGAUUUAGACUUGUCUACCAUUGUUGAACAAGCAUAAAUAAGUUUAUUUAAAUUUUAAAUUUUUUUUUGUGAGAAAUCUGGAAUGAGUAUCUUUUAGACUUGUUAGAAAUAGUACAAGAGGAUUGUAUACAAAAUUUGAAGUCAUUUAAUGGAGAUUUGGAGUAGUUUUGAACAAAAAUUGCAAUUAAAAAAUUAUGGAAGAAGUUCGUCUAGAGACGUUUGUAUAAAUGUGUUUAAAAGUGUAUAAGAGGUAUUUACA
rnacentral:lncRNA from 1 species